UCCGGGUUCUUCAGCCUCGUUCCCGGGUAGUAUAAAGUUUGCUGUCUCCUUUGUUCGCCCUCGUUGCGCAGUAGUCCUAGCGGCUUUUCUUCUGUUCGGAGAACCGGCAGCUGUCACUGGUGCUGAGCUGAUUGCGAGGCCCCAUCGGCGAGCUCGUAGGAGCUUGACACCGUCGCCCUCCCCUCCGCAGAUUCCUAUCAUCUGGAAGGAAAAUAUGGUUGAGGCAGAUCGCCCAGGAAAGCUCUUUAUUGGGGGGCUUAAUACAGAAACAAAUGAGAAAGCCCUUGAGGCAGUAUUUGGAAAAUAUGGAAGAAUAGUGGAAGUACUUUUGAUGAAAGACCGUGAAACCAAUAAAUCAAGAGGAUUUGCCUUUGUCACUUUCGAAAGCCCGGCAGAUGCUAAGGAUGCUGCCAGAGACAUGAAUGGCAAGUCCUUAGAUGGAAAAGCCAUCAAAGUGGAGCAAGCCACCAAACCAUCUUUUGAAAGUGGCAGACGUGGACCACCUCCACCUCCAAGAAGCAGAGGCCCUCCUAGAGGUCUAAGGGGAGGAAGAGGAGGAAGUGGAGGAACUAGGGGACCCCCUUCACGUGGAGGACACAUGGAUGAUGGUGGCUAUUCCAUGAAUUUUAACAUGAGUUCUUCCAGGGGACCACUUCCAGUAAAACGAGGACCACCACCACGAAGUGGAGGUCCCCCUCCUAAAAGAUCAGUACCUUCAGGACCAGUUCGCAGCAGCAGUGGAAUGGGAGGAAGAGCCCCUGUAUCACGUGGACGAGAUAGUUACGGAGGCCCCCCACGACGAGAACCCCUGCCUUCUCGUAGAGAUGUUUAUUUGUCUCCGAGAGAUGAUGGAUAUUCUACUAAAGACAGCUAUUCAAGCAGAGAUUACCCAAGUUCUCGUGAUACAAGAGAUUAUGCACCACCACCAAGAGAUUAUACUUACCGUGAUUAUGGUCAUUCCAGUUCACGUGACGACUAUCCAUCCAGAGGCUAUAGUGAUCGAGAUGGAUAUGGUCGGGAUCGUGACUAUUCAGAUCAUCCAAGUGGAGGUUCCUAUAGAGAUUCAUAUGACAGUUAUGGUAACUCACGUAGUGCUCCACCUACACGAGGGCCCCCGCCAUCUUAUGGUGGAAGCAGUCGCUAUGAUGAUUACAGCAGCUCACGUGACGGAUAUGGUGGAAGUCGAGACAGUUACUCAAGCAGCCGAAGUGAUCUCUACUCAAGUGGUCGUGAUCGCGUUGGCAGACAAGAACGAGGGCUUCCCCCUUCUAUGGAAAGGGGGUACCCUCCUCCACGUGAUUCCUACAGCAGUUCAAGCCGCGGAGCACCAAGAGGUGGUGGCCGUGGAGGAAGCCGAUCUGAUAGAGGGGGAGGCAGAAGCAGAUACUAGAAACAAACAAAACUUUGGACCAAAAUCCCCAUUCAAAGAAACAAACAAAAAGUGGAAACUAUUCUGUCAUAAACUACCCAAGGACUACUAAAAGGAAAAAUUGUGUUAUUUUAAAACAUCCCUGUUUUAAGUUCCCCUUCAUAUUUUUUAUGUUCUUGUGAGGGAAAAGUAAGACAUGUUUAAGUUAAUUUGAUAUUAGGAGUUGCUUUUUAACAAGCAAAUGUUAAAUGUGUAAACCUUGACUUGUGCUAGUAUUGUAAUUUUCCAAGUAAAAAUGUCCCUAAAGGCCACUUCCUAUCCAAUCUUUCCCAGUAAAUGAGGCAGGCAGUUCUAAGAUCUUCCACAAACAUCUAGCCAUCUAGAUGUCCUUUGGUCUCCAUUGAAACUGAAACAUCCUGCCUAUACAGACAAGCUAGCUUUUAGAGGGUGGUCGGGUAUGCUACUCUUAGGAUUCAGAGUAUCUUCCAACUAAAAUUUCAAUGUUCACAGGAUAAAAGACCUGAGAUCAGAUACCUAGGAAAGUACUAUUCACCCAGAAACCCAAAAAAAGCAAAUGGAUAAUGCUGGCCAUAUUUUGCUUUUCUGACAUUUCCUUGGGAAUCUACAAAGAACCCCCCUUUUCCCCUUCCCUAGUAAGACCAUUUAAGUGUGUGUUAAACAACUACAGAAUACUAAAUAAAUAAAAAGUUUGGCCAAAACCAACCAUGAAGCUGCAAACGGUGCUUGCUCUUACUGUUUAAAAUUUUUGCAACUCUGUAGUGUCUCACUUUUAAAGGAACAGCUUGAUUGCAAAGGAGAAAAUAGAUAAGCAAUGAAGUUAUCUCCAACUUCCUAAAGGCUUUUGACUUCUAAAAAGUGAAUCUAUCAGCAUUCCACAUCAGAUUUAAAGCAUCAAAUGCCUGUGAAACAGCAAAGAUGGUUGAACAUAAUGGUCAUAUGGUCAUGGAGUGCUGAUUUAUUCACAAUAGAUAAAGCUGGCAGCGAGAAAAAUCAAAUGCUAAGAGUUGUUGCAGCAGAAGAAUGCUGAUAAGUCACAACAGUUGGUUAAGCAGUGUUCAUCAUAGUUGGUUUGGUAUAGGCAAUAGACAGUUUUUUUGGGGGGUCUUCAAGGAGGCAGGCAUCAAAUCAGUGUUGCUUAAAACUCAGUUAGGGGGUAGUAAUUACCUAAAACUGACCAAAUGGAGAGAGGGAAACAAGUUGGUAAGAGGAGUUAUUCAGGAAGUUUUCAUGGCUCUGUGUAGAUUCUGUAGCUUUGUUAUUUGUUUAGGCAAAGUAAUGGGGAUAACUCUACAGUUUAGAGCUGAUUAUAUCACUGACCAUAAGAAAGUUGAGUUAGAAGCUGGCAUUGUAACUCAAGUGAUGGAAUGCUUGCCUAAUACCCAUGAGACCCAGAGUUCAAUCCCUAGCACCAUACAGAAAUAAAAUUCAUUCAGAAAAAUGAGUCUUCAGUGAUUUUCAUGAAGCAAAUCAUUUUUUGGCGUUAACUCAUCAGGAAAAGAUAUUUAGUUGUACUAUAAAAUGUUAAAGCGGAGGGAGUAAAUACUGUGAAAUGAAAGCUAAAACUGGAAACAUUGCUUGCUAAUAUAAUGGAAAGCAUACUGGAAACAAAACUAGGCUAGUAGGUCACUAUUUUUGUAAGUCUACUUUACCCUCGGGUCUCAGUCUCGGGAAACAAAUUAUGAUACAAUUCAGGUUUAUUGUUUUGGAAACCAGAAUCUGUAAUGUACAUGUUGAUGUUCUCAAGGGAAACAGGUUGAGUUGCAGGUUUAAAGGAUCCAGUUCAACUCCUGGGUUUCUUUUUUUUUUUUUUUUAAGGACUAAUGCUGUUAUGAUUAGGGGAAAUUAUCCAAAGAAUUUGAACCCCCAGUAAUCACAAUCCUAAUCAGACCAUGAGGGUAUUGACUGAAUUUCAGUAGUUGCACUUGAAUAGCUACUUGAACUUAGCCUUCCAUGCUCAAAUUACUUGAGUAGAUAAAUCUAUGAAGACCUUUUGGCUCUGGAGAGUUCAUUAGGUUUCCUAAAUGAUACAUCAUAGAGACUGCUAGUAUGUAUGAAUGUUAAAUUCAAA